rnacentral:rRNA from 1 species
UUGGAGGGCAAGUCUGGUGCCAGCAGCCGCGGUAAUUCCAGCUCCAAUAGCGUAUAUUAAAGUUGUUGUGGUUAAAAAGCUCGUAGUAGAAGCUCGGGCUCCGGCCGACCGGUCCGCCUCACCGCGUGCACUGGUUCGGCCGGGCCUUCACCUUCUGCGGAACCGCAUCUCCUUCACUGGGGGUGUCGGGGAAACAGGACGUUUACUGUGAAAAAAUUAGAGUGCUCCAGGCAGGCCUAUGCUCGAAUAGAUUAGCAUGGAAUAAUGGAAUAGGACGUGUGGUCUUAUUUCGUUGGUUUCUAGGACCGCCGUAAUGAUUAAUAGGGACAGUCGGGGGCAUCAGUAUUCAAUCGUCAGAGGUGAAAUUCUUGGAUCGAUUGAAGACUAACUACUGCGAAAGCAUUUGCCAAGGAUGUUUUCAUUUAUCAGGAACGAAAGUUAGGGGAUCGAAGACGAUCAGAUACCGUCGUAGUCUUAACCAUAAACUAUGCCGACUAGGGAUCGGACGGUGUUAUUUCUUGACCCGUUCGGCACCUUACGGGAAAC